GAAACACCGAUUCCGAGAUGCCA
rnacentral:siRNA from 1 species